ACAUGGUAAAUAUGUCAAAUUGAUGAACAAAGCGUGAGCAGGAAGGAGGUGCGUGAACGAGGCUGAAACGAUUUGAGUGAGCUGGUGGCACUAUAUAACCUACAAUCGUUGGCAUUUGAUUGAAAAAGGAUUGACAAAAUGAACAGUGGAAUACACUUGUCUAUAUUUAUUUUCGGUUUGGUUGUCGGAACAAUAAAUGGGAUCGUAAUAAUCGACAAAAUAGCAGACGAUCUGGGAGGAUCAAUGGAAAGCACUGAUUCAAAUUCAGUGUACUCUGGUGCGAUUCGCGUACGUCGAUCAGUAGUAAUUUGUUGCCGUCUUUCAUUGGUUUGUUGUUUUUCACAAACGAGAUAAUAAACACGCAGGUGUCUCAAUGAAACUGUUUAGUAGUAAUUUACUUUGUACUACUCCUAUAUAACAUUUGGUACCAUCUCAUUUGAACCCACGUACAUUUGAACCCGCAACAAUUGCACCUAUGGAAUUUUUUGUUUUACGGAUAUUUGAACCCAUACUAACCCUAACCCAUGGGUUUUGUCACCCGCACAUAGAUUGAACCCACGGAUAUACACAUGGGUUCAAAUGUACGGUCACCAUAACAUCAUCAUUUUUGAGAGAGUCCACAAGAUUUAAAAACGCUUUAAGGGUUCAUGAUAGAUUCAUUCUGUUAUGUUUUAAUCCCAAACAUAGCAAAGACGAAAUUAUAAAAAAACGUCAAUAUUAUAGCUUGAUAGAGUCUAAUUCGACAACGUAAAUCUUCACCGUUAAUAUAGGUCUACUCCGAAUAUUUAUUCAAACAUGAAAUAAAUAAUUAUUACAUAAACCUGACAAUAUGUAUCGCACCGAACCUACAAGUUUAUUCGUUGCUUUACAUCAGCUAAGCUACUCCCAUAAGAUUGAUUUUCUUGUCGUUGGUGACAAUGAAGAACACAUAAAUCUCAUAUGCGAUCAGAAGUCAUCGCUGAGCGCAGCCAUGUCUUGGCCUGUUUCAUGCAUGAAAGAGAUCACAGCGUAUAGGCACGGCGUAUCAGGUAUAGUUGCAAUACAAUAUUAUUAUCAACUUCCAAAAUCCAGUUAUUACACCAAUUUCAACUACUAAGACUUGUAAUUACCAAAGUAAUUAUACUCUGAUACCAAUGACAUUUGAGCAAAUUCGUUGACGCGUUCUCAUGGCCAGCUGAAGAACCACAAAGCGAUGGGUUGAAGAAUCCAUUCGUUUUGAUUCCUAUUAUUAUCAGUGUAUAUUUCCAACAUUUUUCACUUCCAUUUUUAAAAAGAAAAAGAGAGUUCAACUGAAA